rfam:Equus caballus chromosome X, whole genome shotgun sequence.
CCAAAAGCUCUUUUCAGAGCCACUUAAGUUUUCAUAAGAACUGUAU